rnacentral:rRNA from 1 species
GACGAACGCUGGCGGCGUGCUUAACACAUGCAAGUCGAACGGAAAGGCCCUGCUUUUGUUGGGUGCUCGAGUGGCGAACGGGUGAGUAACACGUGAGUAACCUGCCCUUGACUUUGGGAUAACUUCAGGAAACUGGGGCUAAUACCGGAUAUGAGCUCCUGCUGCAUGGUGGGGGUUGGAAAGUUUCGGCGGUUGGGGAUGUACUCGCGGCUUAUCAGCUUGUUGGUGGGGUAGUGGCUUACCAAGGCUUUGACGGGUAGCCGGCCUGAGAGGGUGACCGGCCACAUUGGGACUGAGAUACGGCCCAGACUCCUACGGGAGGCAGCAGUGGGGAAUAUUGCACAAUGGGCGGAAGCCUGAUGCAGCAACGCCGCGUGCGGGAUGACGGCCUUCGGGUUGUAAACCGCUGUCGCCUGUGACGAAGCGUGAGUGACGGUAAUGGGUAAAGAAGCACCGGCUAACUACGUG